UCCGAAGUGGUGGAAUUGGCAGACACGCUACUUUUAGGCAGUAGUGGUUAUCCGUGUGGGUUCAAGUCCCACCUUCGGAA
rnacentral:tRNA from 1 species